rnacentral:rRNA from 1 species
GACGGAGGGUGCAAGCGUUGUUCGGAUUGACUGGGCGUAAAGGGCGUGUAGGCGGUUGGUCAAGUCUGAUGUGAAAGCCCGGGGCUCAGCCCCGGAAGGGCAUCGGAAACUAGCCAGCUGGAGCGCGAUAGAGGAGGGUGGAAUUCCUGGUGUAGCGGUGAAAUGCGUAGAUAUCGGGAGGAACACCAGUGGCGAAGGCGACUUCCUGGCCUGUUCUGACGCUGAGGCGCGAAAGCCAGGGGAGCAAACGGG